UACGGGGGGUGCGAGCGUUGUCCGGAAUCACUGGGCGUAAAGGGCGCGUAGGUGGUUUGAUAAGGGUGUGGUGAAAGUCCGGGGCUCAACCCCGGAUCUGCCGUGCCGACUGUCAAACUCGAGGGCUGUAGAGGCAGACGGAAUUCCGGGUGUAGCGGUGGAAUGCGUAGAGAUCCGGAGGAAGACCGGUGGCGAAGGCGGUCUGCUGGGCAGUUUCUGACACUGAGGCGCGACAGCGUGGGGAGCAAACAGG
rnacentral:rRNA from 1 species